GUCGUGUACCUGAGGUGCACCGGUGGCGAAGUCGGUUCCACGCCUGCCCUGGCCCCGAAGAUCGGCCCGCUGGGUCUGUCUCCAAAAAGGGUUGGUGAUGACAUCGCCAAGGCAACCGGUGACUGGAAGGGUCUAAGGAUUAUGGUGAAACUGACCAUUCAGAACAGACAGGCCCAGAUUGAAGCGAUCGGAAGAGGGUC